rnacentral:lncRNA from 1 species
GGAAGAGCUGGGAAAUGAGGCAAUUCAGUAAGAUAAGUUUUAAGAAGGAGGGAAGUUUAGGAAGAAGGUUGAAAAUCUUUGUAUAUGACAGUUGAUAUUCUCAUUUCGUAUUUGUGGGAAUUGUGGUCCAUGGAGAUUGACAUAUUCUUGUGGUCACACAAUUACUCACUGCAAAUUUGGAGAUUUUUAAAGUUAUUAGUCUGUUGCUCUUUCGGCUCUAUUGUUAAAGUACAAAUGCAAUCAUAAUCAUUACUUUAUCCAGUCCCCAGAUAUAUCUGAUUCAAUACUUUUAGGAUGAAGUUCAAAUAUGUGUUUUUCAAAGAAAAUAGAAAAAAAAAACUUUUAGGCAAUUUUCAUGUGCUCACCACAUUUACAAUAACUGUGUUGUACCAUGUAAAACUAUCCAACAUAUGGAUGUCAAAGUAUCUCAAUAUAAAUAUAUUUAAUACUCAACUUUAUUUUCAUUCUGUAUGAAAACAUUUUGUUGCUUUUUGUUGUUUCAUUUAACACAUUUGGCUCUUUUAUCCAUAGUUUUUUUUUUUUUUUUUUUUUUAGCCAUAUUCGGCUCUUUUUUCCUUUUAAAAAUCUCAAGAUUACCAUAAAAUCACAAAUAUGAUUCUCCUAUGUUAUAUGUUUGUUUGUUUUUUUCCUUUUAGGGCCACACCCUUGGCACAUUGAGUUCCCAGGCUAGUGGUCGAAUUGGAGCUGUAGCUGCUGGCUUAUGCCACAGCAGCCACAGCAAUGUGAAAAUCCGAGCUGCAUCUGCGAUCUACACCACAGCUAACAGCAAUGCCGGAUCUUUAACCCACUGAGCGAGGCCAGGAAUCAAACCUGCAUCUUAAUGGAUGCUAGUCAGAUUCAUUUCCGCUGAUGAAAUAAAAAACUUGGUCUGUAAUAAUCCCUUUAUAUUGCCCUGCAAAUGAAAGUGAAAGAAUAUUACCAAAAGCAGAAAUAAUGGAGAAAUAUAACAUUUGAGUUUAAAAAUGAAAAAUUUUGGUAAUAAAAAUUAAUCCACUGGGAAUCUGAGUUUAAGUCAGAAAUCUUCUGGUUGCAAGAAAAGAACUUCAAUUAAGUUGGCUCAUAUAAAAAAAGGAAGAUGAAAUAAAAUUGGCCUCAGUGAUAAAAGAUAUUAAAGGUAAUAAGAUAAAUUCUGCCAAGUCCUGUGUUAUGCAAACAAGAGUAGGAACUGAUGUGUGAAAGUUCCUGUCUCACCAAGGCCACAUAAUCAAUCUCAAUCUCUCUCUCCUGCUUCUUUCCAAGCCAAUUUGCUAUCUACUUCUUUCUUGCCUGUUUGUAUUGCUUUCUCAAUUCCCUCACUUUGUGAACUCUCAGCCCCAGUGCAACAUCACAAAUGUUUAGUUCCACUGUGCUCUGCCACCACAGCCCCCUAACUUAAUUUGGAAAUUUGAGAAAAACCAUGGAAAGACGGGAGCUUGAGUGUUUGUGUGAAAGAAAUGAAAUGGAAAAGGAAAGAAAGAGGGAGAGGGAAGAGACAUGAACAUGGGAGAGCCAGUCUAACAAGAAAGAAAAAGAUUCUGCUUGUUUCCUGCCCAGAUCAUGGAAUUUAGGUUGGGGGUGAUGGGUGAGUCAAUCAUAUUUUGCCAGAAAGCUAAUAGGAAUAUACAAACUAAAGCUGCCUCUUCCAGAAGCUGAGAGCAGACAGUUAACUGUAAGGGAUGGUGUAGAAUAAAACUGACUUCAAAUAAUUAGAACACUGUGCAUUACUUUUUUAGUAUUUGAGGCUUUCAUCUAUUCCUGACUUUAUAUCUAUCUAGAUCUCCACCUGUGCCUUUAUGGUAUUUUUAAACUGGUUUAUUAUAGGUGUUCUGACCUUUCCUCUUUUCAAGCUUUCACUGUUGUAUUUCUAUAAUACAUAAACUUUACUUAUAACCAGAAUCAAACCACUAUCUAGGAACAUGAGAUUGUAGCACCAGACUAUGGAGGGUUUGUCUACUUGCAUUUAUAGAUGGGAAAUCCUCAUGUACAUCAGUACUUCAAUUUUGAUAUUUUUUCAUAAGAAUUUAAGUGCAGACAAUAGUGUUAAUUAUUUUUAAAACUUUAGGCUUGUUAAAGUAGAUGAGUUAGGCUUGAUCCUUAUACUCAAGAAACAAAGUACUGGAGAAAAGAGUGAAUUAUGGAAAUAAAACUAGGCAAAUGUAAAGAAAGUUCCUUAACAGACCUUCCGAGAAAGACUAGAGAGAACAUCAAAGAGGAGAGAAAAUUUGAUACCAAGGAGAUAAUCAGAUAUCUAGAAGGGUGAACCCUUUUAGGAGCUGUCUUCAAGAAGAGUAAAAAGAAAAGAGAAAGAUUUUGGCUUUUACCAAAUCUACCUAAAAUGUUUAAAAUAGAUUCGUAGCAUGCAUUUAAGUCAUUUAGGUAGCUGAAUGGCAGCACCAGAUGGUUCUAUUACAUGACUCAUUUCUAGUUUUCUCUCUCCAUUUGCUCACAUGUUUAUGUGUGCUAUCAUCUAAAGCCUAGUUAAAAUUUUAGGGCAAUAUACAAUUAAUGGAGCUUUAUGCAUGAAAGAAGAUCAGACAUGAAGUUAAUAUUUGCCUACAGAAAGGACAUACCCUUCUAUAUUUAUCAGCUUGGGUUGUCAUAAAAAAUACCAUAGACGGGUGGCUUAAGGAACUGAAAUUUAUUUUCUCACAGUUCUGGAUAUUAGAAUACCCAGAUCAAGGACCUACCAAGUCAGUUUCUGGGAGCUUGCUUGCUGGCUUGUAGAAAAUUGUCUUCUGACUAUGUCCUCAAAACAGUCUUUUUCUUCUAAGUAUGUGUGUGGAAAGAGAAAAAGUGAGCCCCAUGUUUCUUCCUGUUAGGAUACUAAUCCUUAUGAAUUUUUUAAUAAUCAUCUCCAGAUGUAGUUAACUUGGGGGGUUAGUUAUUCAACUAACAUGGAUAUGUCAGUUAUAAAACUAACAUGAAUCCAGCUCACAUGAAGUCAUUAUGUACUCCUUGAAAGACUGAAAGUUUUCACCUCUUCUGAGAAAGAUUCCUCCUUUCCUUACCACUCCAUCACGGGAGAAAAUAAUCUUGGGUCUUUUUUCUCCUAUGAAGAAAUGGGUUUUAAAAUUAUCAUAAGUUAUUCAAGUUGUUCUCAUUCUUAGAGUGGCCGCAAUUGUCUCUUACAUCUUUCUGAAUUCUAACCCAGUAACAGAAGUGGUCUGACCGACUUUGGCAGAAUUAACAAACAAUUUCUUCAAUUUGUACGUUUCAGAUAAUUUUGAAAUAUAAAUUUAAAGAGAAUCUAACUAACACUAACACUAAACCUUUGCUCUAUGAACGUCUUUCUGUAUAUCUGAAUAUGUUCAAAAUUAGCUUACAUAUUUUAAAUAGAAUUAAAAGAAAAAUAAAAUCUUGAUAUUUUCUCAUAACACAAUAAAAACAUUUUCAAUUUCACGUUUUAAAGGAAAAUAUUUUUUAUCUUUUUUAAAGUUUUAUUGAAGUAUAGUUCAUUUACAAUGUUGUGAUAAUUUUACCUGUACAACAGAGUGAUUCUGUUAUACAUGUACACACAUCCAUUCUUUUUCAAAUUCUUUUCCCAUUAGAACAUCACAGAAUACUCGGUAGAGUUUCCUGUGCUAUACAGCAAGUCUCCGUUGGCCAAUCAUUCCAUAUAUCAACAGUAUACAUGUGUGUAGCAAAACAUCUGGGUCAAGGAUGGCUGGAUGAGGUAGACUUGAAAAUAUCAGAAAUAUGAUGGGACAUGAUAUCAAAGACCUCAUAAAAAUGUCCACGCCAUAUUGUGAAAUAUAUGCACCCUGUUACUAGCUCUUCUGCCCUUCAAUCUGUCUUUCCUUCUCAGCUUCCUUGGGCUCUCCCAGGUCUGAUAAUUCACCUUGAAACUAUGGUAUGUCACUGGAUAACUUAUCAUGGAAAAAUGGCUGGGGGAACAGUAUGCACUAUGCUUCAGAGACAGAUUCUCAGGAAUAGGGUGAUGGAGAACAAAUUACUAGAAAAUAUUAACCAGCAUUAAUAUUAAUACUAGAAAAUAUUACUGCAGAGUAGUAACAACAUUAGUUUUCCUACCUUCUCAAUAAACCUCAUAGCAUAAAUCAUCAGUGAAUAUAACUGGAACUUAGCAGAUUAGGAAAUGGUAAAAAUAAUGUUUGAUUUCCUUUUCUGAAUGUCCACUGCUAUAAAACCUCUAGAGGCCAUUAGUGACAUAAUUAAAAUAAACACUAAAUAAAAUGAUUUAAAUUACUGUCAUUUUUGACCAGGCCUAGGAAAACUUAGGAAAGGUAAUCAUUAUAAUGAUAUGAAAUAUCAUGGGAUUACAAGAAUAAGAUCCAUGCUUCCAAGUAAAUUAUUUUGAUAGAAUAUAUUCAAGCCUUUGUGAGAAGCACAAAGAAGUGAAGAAGUAUAUUUUAUGUAAAAAUAACAUAUAGGAUAUAUUUCUUAUCAGAAUAUCGGGACUACAGAUGUUAUAUUAAGGCAAAAUUAAUAUGGCUUCGUAAAAAAAAAUUCACCUUUAUUUUUUGUUUGUUUUCAUUUGUUUUUUUUUUUUUCUUUUUAUGAUGGCACUUGCAGCAUAUGCGAGUUUUCAGGCUAGGAGUUGAAUUGGAGGUGCAGCUGCAGGCCUAUGACACAGCAACAUCAGAUCAUAGCCGCGUCUAUGACCUAUGCUGCAGCUUGACGCAAUGCCAGAUCCUUAAUCUACUAAGCAAGCCCAGGGAUCAAACCGGCAUCCUCACAAGGACUAUGUCGGGCUCUUAAGCCAUUGACCUGCAAUGGGAACUCACAAAAUUCACCUUUUUGGAUGUGUGUUUGAAAUCAUAAAAUGCUAUUAAAAUGCGUAUCAGAAGAAUCACUUUGCCUGAGGGUUUACAGGAGAUCCUCCUGAGAAAGUGAUUUUUCAGGGCAAAUUGAAAGACAUAUUGUGGGCUUUUGUCUUCAUUUUUGUUUUUAUUUUGGAGCACUUCCUUGCACUCUGGUACUACCAGAUGCUCCAGGUUUAUUAUGU